UACAGAGGUCCCAAGCGUUGUUCGGAUUCACUGGGCGUAAAGGGUGCGUAGGUGGCGAGGUAAGUUUGAUGUGAAAGCUCCGGGCUCAACCCGGAAAUGGCAUUGAAUACUCUCUCGCUAGAGGAUUGGAGGGGAGUCUGGAAUUCUCGGUGUAGCAGUGAAAUGCGUAGAUAUCGAGAGGAACACCAGUGGCGAAGGCGAGACUCUGGACAAUUCCUGACACUGAGGCACGAAAGCCGGGGGAGCAAACGGGAUUAGACACCCGGGUAGUCCGGGCCCAAAACGGUGCGGGUUUGCGGGGGGGGGAAUCGACCCCGCCUGUGGCGUAGCUAACGCGAUAAACGUGCCGCCUGGGGAGUACGGUCGCAAGAUUA
rnacentral:rRNA from 1 species